AAGUCGUAACAAGGUUUCCGUAGGUGAACCUGCGGAAGGAUCAUUACCGAACAACCAAAUCCUCUGUGCCUCCUUGUAGCAGGCAGGAUCGGGGUUCCAAGGAUGGGGUUGCCUUCCAGCACCGCUUGGUCCCCCAUGCUGCCACUACGUCCUCCUAUUUUACCAAACAAAACCUGUCUGUCGCAUGUUUGUGGCAUCCCCUUGUCGGGGCUUGCCCUUUAAACAUAUCAAACAUAACUUUCAACAACGGAUCUCUUGGCUCUC
rnacentral:misc_RNA from 1 species